rnacentral:rRNA from 1 species
UACGUAGGGUGCAAGCGUUAAUCGGAAUUACUGGGCGUAAAGCGUGCGCAGGCGGUGAUGUAAGACAGAUGUGAAAUCCCCGGGCUUAACCUGGGAACUGCAUUUGUGACUGCAUCGCUGGAGUGCGGCAGAGGGGGAUGGAAUUCCGCGUGUAGCAGUGAAAUGCGUAGAUAUGCGGAGGAACACCGAUGGCGAAGGCAAUCCCCUGGGCCUGCACUGACGCUCAGACGCGAAAGCCAGGGGAGCGAACGGG